rnacentral:lncRNA from 1 species
CACGGCGGACGGUCCCUUGGCGGGCCCGCGCUGCGGGACUACGAGUCCCGUCAUGCACCGCGGCGGAGCCCCGGGAUCGGGACCGGGACAGGAACCGGGAUCGGGAUCCGCGUUGGGAUCAGGAUCGCGGCCGGAGCUCGCCGUGCGCAGUGGGAACAGCCGCGGGGCCAAGAAUGACGCGGUUUGCGCGGGAGAUUCAAGCGCUCCGGGCCGGGAUCUCAGCUCUGCCCUCCCGGCAGGAGCGCAGGUUCCCAGUGGAGAACCUGCUCCGUGCGGACGCCCCCCGGCCUCGGCUGUGCCGCCCGCAGGACCGCAGCGGGCAGCUCCGCGUGGAGCUGCAGCGGGAGCGCGCCAUUCCCAUGGGAUACGCGGAUGUCGGUGCGUUCCUGGAGCCCCGAACCCCGCGUCCAUCCCGGUGUUAUCCCAGAGAACUGCGGCUCCGGCCCUGGUGCCGCUGGUGCCCUGCGUGCCGCUGAUGAGCGCUGCCGAGCCCGGGCGGGAGCGGAACCGCUGCGGCGUCCGCAUAUUAAGGAAGGUAACGGCCGGAUGCAUAGGGAAGAGCGGAGGGGAUGGGAACAGAGGGAAUGGAGAGCAGGGAUUGCGGCCGGGCCAGCCCUGCCCCGGCCUCCUGGUGGCUGGAACCUGCUGGUUGUCACCUGGCCCUGGACACCGGGUGUCCCAUUCCCCCGUCCCAUCACAUCCCAUCGCAUCCCAUCCCGUUCCAUUGCAUCACAUCCUGUCCCAUCACAUCCCAUUGCAUCGCAUCCUGCCCCAUCACAUCCCAUCCUGUCGCAUCCCAUCCCGUUGCAUCCCGCCCCAUUCCAUCCCUUCAGCAGGCACACCCGCUUUGGGCUCUCCCGCAUCCGUGUGCACACGGCCCUGGACCCGCGGUGCCUGGUGGGUGCCCCCAGUCCCUGCCUGCAGGCAGCGGUGUGGGGCUCCUCUGCCCCCACUGCUGCCCAUGCGACUCUCAUCCCAACUCCCUGCGCCAUUCCCAUGUCCUGCAGGAGGGUUCCAAGCCCAGGGACAGCCCUUGGAGCUCCAGCCCUGCGCUGGGCCCUCCUUCCAGUGCCACGCUCCUAAGUGGAGCCAUGGAACCAUGGAAUGGGGUGGAAAGGACCUGGAGGUCGCCCCGCUGUGUUCCCUGCCAUGGGCCUGGCCUGAUCCAUCCCAUCCUCCCCCUGCGCAGCCGGGGCUGGGGGCACCCCGAGCUGCUGCCCCCAAGGCCCUGCUCCUACUCUCCCUGUGCCCAGGAGCCACAGGGAGGAGGAUGAGGAGCUGA